rnacentral:rRNA from 1 species
GCAUAGAUGAGACGUCCGCCUGCCCGGUGACCCUGGKUUAAACGGCCGCGGUAUUUUAACCGUGCGAAGGUAGCGCAAUCACUUGUCCUUUAAAUGAAGACCUGUAUGAAUGGCUAGACGAGGGCUUAGCUGUCUCCUCCCCCCGGUCAAUGAAAUUGAUCUCCCCGUGCAGAAGCGGGGAUAAUUACAUAAGACGAGAAGACCCUAUGGAGCUUUAGACACUAGACAGCCCACGUUAAAAUUGUCCUUCAGCGGGCGAUAAACAUUGUGACUCCUGUCUCUCCUGUCUUCGGUUGGGGCGACCGCGGAGGAUAAAAGAGCCUCCAUGUGGACCGAGGUUACUAAUCUCACAACUAAGAGCUGCAGCUCCMAGCAACAGAAAUUCUGACCAAAAUGAUCCGGCACAUGCCGAUUAACGGAACAAGUUACCCUAGGGAUAACAGCGCAAUCCCCUCCCAGAGUCCCUAUCGRCGAGGGGGUUUACSACCUCGAUGUUGGAUCASGACAUCCUAUUGGUGSAGCCGCUAAUAAGGGUUCGUUUGUUCAACGAUUAAAGUCCUACSUGAUCUGAGUUCAGACCGGAAUCUGUAAAUCCCGACAUACCG